rnacentral:rRNA from 1 species
AUGAACGCUGGCGGCGUGCCUAAUACAUGCAAGUCGAACGAGUUCUCGUUGAUGAUCGGUGCUUGCACCGAGAUUCAACAUGGAACGAGUGGCGGACGGGUGAGUAACACGUGGGUAACCUGCCCUUAAGUGGGGGAUAACAUUUGGAAACAGAUGCUAAUACCGCAUAGAUCCAAGAACCGCAUGGUUCUUGGCUGAAAGAUGGCGUAAGCUAUCGCUUUUGGAUGGACCCGCGGCGUAUUAGCUAGUUGGUGAGGUAAUGGCUCACCAAGGCGAUGAUACGUAGCCGAACUGAGAGGUUGAUCGGCCACAUUGGGACUGAGACACGGCCCAAACUCCUACGGAGCAGCAGUAGGAAUC